UUAUACAAUUUAUGCUAAUUAAUAGUUUUGGUUAAUUUUAGUUAUUUUUAUUUUUGAUUAUAUUUUUUGAAUUUUUAGGUGAAAUUUAAUUUUUUUUUUCUUUUGUUAUUAUAAUUCUAUGAAAUACAUAAUAUAAAUUAGGAUUAGAUACCCUAUUAUUUUGUACGUUAAUUUUUGCUAGGGUAGUAAUUUUUGUUUUUUAAAACCUAAAGAAUUUGGCGGUGUUUUAUUCUAUUUAGAGGAACUUGUCCCGUUAUCGAUGAUCCUCGUUUUAUCUUUCUUUAUUACUUGUAAAUCAGUAUGUAUACCGCCGUUAUAAGUUUAUUUUAUUAGAUUAUUAAUUUACUUUUUAUUUUAAAAGAUUUUAUUUCA
rnacentral:rRNA from 1 species